GAUGAAGAACGUAGCGAAAUGCGAAAAGUAAUGUGAAUUGCAGAAUUCAGUGAAUCAUCGAAUCUUUGAACGCACAUUGCGCCCGCCAGUAUUCUGGCGGGCAUGCCUGUCUGAGCGUCAUUUCAACCCUCACGCCCCUAGGGCGUGGUGUUGGGGAUCGGCCAGCGCCCUCGCGGGCGAGGCCGUCCCCUAAAUCUAGUGGCGGACCCGUCGUGGCCUCCCCUGCGAAGUAGUGAUAUUCCGCAUAGGAGAGCGACGAGCCCCUGCCGUUAAACCCCCAACUUUCUCAGGUUGACCUCAGAUCAGGUAUGAAUACCCGCUGAACUUAAGCAUAUCAAUAAGCGGAGGA
rnacentral:misc_RNA from 1 species